rnacentral:lncRNA from 12 species
CCCUGGUGGCCUGUGCUAGUCCAAUGGGCUCCCAUAGAAGACACUCCCUGCCGGCAGGAGCCCCUUGACGCGCUCCUGUGGAAGACUCUCCCCGGCGGCAGGAGCUCCUUUGACGGGCUCCUGUGGAACACUCUCCCCGGCUGCCUGCGCUCCUGGGACACCCUCCUGUGGAACACUCUCCCCAGCGGCCUGCGCUCCCCCGACGGGCUCCUGUGGAAGACUCUCCCCAGGGGCCUGUGCUCCUCUCAAGGCUCCCCGUCCUCAUGAGGUGCUGCCCCCAUUUCUGUUGUUAAACUCGUUGGACUCUUAUUUGCCAGAUGCGGUUCUAGAUGCUUGAAGCUCAUCAAUGAACAAAACUUCGCAAAUGAAAUUUUGAUUUGGUGUCUAUUUGGUAGACACUUUCUAAGUAUUUUUAAAAAAUCUUAGAAACUUCCCACUUUCACAUUCGGACUGCCUUGGUAUUAAAUUCCGCUUCCAUGUUGUAUCUAUUUCCUUUUAACGGAAACACGUGUAGUCGGAAUAAAUACGAUUAUAACUACCAGUAAGUUUGUGUGUAAGGCAUCUGUUUCCAGGAAUGAAUGUGCCUGAAAUUUUUCUUAGAUUUUGUGACCGUGUUACCCAGACGUGGCACUCCAGGCUCCCUGGACACUUGUUCUACUGAAGGGCUUCUGAAAUCCACAUGGGAGACGGCCCGCAGAGCCAUGGAUCAGGGAAACGUGUACACACAUCUUGUCUUGAACUCAGCAGAAGAUGUGAUAAAGCGCCUCCAUAUUGUCCCUGAGCUGGAAAAAUGUGAGUGGAAUGAAGUGUCGUUAAGUGAAUCUUCACAACCAUCCUCGCUUAGUCUAUGUGACUAGAGAUACUUGGUCGAUGUUUGUGGAGCUAAAUUGAGCUGAGUGGAUCUAGGUUCAUCCUAUGGCGUGUGAUGCAGCUGAACGUUUCUAAACCCAGUCUUGUCCCGGGUGCUGACCGCAGAUGUCUGAAGGUUUCCAGAACCACCCUGUAGAUCACAUGCCUUCCGUCGUCCUGUUUUACCAAAGGGCUUCUUCAUAGUUAGAUAUUUACUAUUUAAUAUUUACUUUUUCGACCCUUUCCGGGGCCCUCUUCUGACCGACCCCUCUGCUGCUUCUGUGCCAUCGAACCCUGACUUCUUGUUUUUAGAAAUGCCACCUUUGACUUCCAAGGUAUUGUUCUUAUAGGUUCCCUCUGAACCCUGUAAAUAUUCCUCUUCCUUCUCUAAUUUCACUUCUGUGCACCCCUUAAAUAUUCAUCCGUGCUCUGCAUGAUUUUACUACUCUCUGGAGGUGAUUUCAUUCAUGCUCCUGGCUACACACCAAAAACAUAUAGCUUUUUAUAAAUCUGUAUCUCCCAGCUAGACCACUUGCCUGGGCACCAGAAUGGUAUGUUCUGUCCUGCUUUGGGCAUAUUGUCGCCUCUCUUAGUUCCUUGAGGCUAUUCAACACAAGCCAUCUUCACCUCUCUUCUCCCAAUCUUAAAGUGUCUGAUAAUUGAAAAAGCACUGGCAUUGGACACAGAACUGCGUUUGAUUUUUUUUUUUUUAUACUCAUCACUUACUAGUUAUACAAAUUGGGGCAAAUCACUUACCCUGGCUGUAUUAGUUUUCUAUUGCUGCUUAACAGAUUACCACAAAGUUCAUGGCUUCCAGCAGCACAUAUUUAUUGUCACUUAGUUUCUGUGGGUCAGGAAUGUGCGCACGGCACAAUGGAGCCUCUGGUUAGGUGUCUCCUAAGGCUGUAAUCAAGGAUUCGGCAAGGUUGGGUUCUUAUCAGAUGCUUAACCGCAGAAGGAUUUAUUUCCAAGCUCCCUCAGGUUAUAACAAAGUGCGUACACCUUAUUUGAGUUUAUUUGUAAGAUGGGAUUAGGUAUGACUUCAGAUAAUUGUAAGUGGGUGUUUUACCUCCGUGACUAUUUGAUGUGACAUUCAGAAGUCCUGUGCGGCGUGGGUCAGUGUUCCGUCAUACGAGACCGCCCUCCGCACUGUUGGCCUCUACAUAUUAUACACCAUUGCUGUCUCCUAUGCUUCAUGCUAACCAGAAGCAUUUCCACAGUUUUCAAAACGCCUCUCGUGGGUGCAAGACUGUCUCCUUGCAAGUCACUGGGUAAGAGGUUUAAAAUAUCAUUCCUAAUAAGCAGAUGUGAGUUUUGUGACAGAAAUCCACAGAAACACAUUCACUCAUGUAUUCAACACACCUUACGGAGUACCUCCGUGUGAAAGGUGCUGAUCCAGAGGCUGUCUUAUUCAGCAGUGAAACGAGACAGCAUCUUUCCUUCUCCCAUGGAACGAAUAUAAAACAAUAGAAGGGAUCUUGAGAAUGGGUACCCAUCACUAAACGCUCCUCUUCACUUCAAAGACUUGAAAAUAUAGAACUUAGCAGUUCCCUGAACUCUCUAUUCUUUAACUCCUUGUUCAAAGUUCAGUUGAAGUUUAUCAGACGAUGGUCUGUGUAACGAAUGUCCCCACAUUUUCAUCUGUUAAAAGUGUACUCCUUUUUCGGGGCCUUUCCGUGAAGUCUUUUUGAUUCACCAAGACAAGCGAUGGGCAAGAUAUCCUACUUUUAAGUUACUGUGUUGCGCUUUCAAUAAUUCUUUGUUCUUUUGGGGCUUGGGAGGGUCAGAGACAUAGCAGGAAGCCAAUAAACAUUUGCUUAAAAAGAAGGAAGGAAAGAAG